rnacentral:lncRNA from 1 species
UUAAAGAAUGGAUAAAUACUAUAUAUCAUACACAUUUUCUCACAUGAUGCGUGUACAUUGCACCAAGUUGACACAUGCAUUAGAAUAUUUCAUGGGACACCCACUCUUAUGAAAUCUAUCUUAUCCAAACACAUCAUAUUUAAAUGCCUAAGUCCUCAAUUUCGUCUCCAUAUUUUCUUUUGUCUACUAUAACAAAGAAAUCGAAAAUCAUCCAUAUAAUUGAAUGGGUAUUCGAGUUGUGUACGGGUUGUUGUUCCUAUCUAUGUUCUGUACAUGCAUCAUCUUCCUUGAUCUUAUGCUUUCUCCUCUCUUAUUCUUCACAUCUUGAACAACGUUUCUUUACCUCAUCUUCACAAUAGUCAUGGCCUCAUGUUUUGGUAUUUAUAUGUACACUUUCCUUUUGUAAUUCAAUGUGCAAAAGUUAAUCAUUUUAGAAGUGUGGAACUGUCGAUUGAUGUUUAAUUUCAAGUAUUGCUUAAUUAUUAAUGCUCUAUUACAUUGCUUACUUAUUUUUUUCAUUAGUUAAUUUUUUUGGUAAUAAACAAAAUUUGGGGUGUCCAAGAUAGAGAAGACUACGAAGGAAAGGAUUAUAAUUCACUUCCUCCAAUAUAACUAUUACAAGUAGAAUUAGUCUAUGUGACGAUGACCAAACAUAAUUUUCUAAAACUAUAUAAUAUGAAAUAAAAAUUCGCAUCUCAUUUACCAGCCUCGGUUCAUAUGCUCAUACACGGAAACGACUUUUCUCCUAUAUUUGCUACUAAAAUCUCAAAAUUCCAGCUCAUAAAUUGUGGGACAUUGUCACUUGGAUAAUCAAAUUAUCAAUAGAUUUAUGCUUAUCCAUGUUAAUAAUGUUGUCUCUUUUCUAUUGUGUAUUAUGCUUAUGCUCUUCAAAAUUGUUUGAGGAGAUGUUGUUUAGAAAUUCAUGAAAGAAAAAUAAAUUGUAUAGUAGAAUAAGAGAUAUCAGAGAGAUACUAUCAAAUAUUAUAAGGUAUAUUAUAAAUUAUCCAUUUUAUUGGAAUAAUAAAAUGAUGCCUAUUAAAAUUUGGUUAUAAGAAAAUACAUAGUUACAAGUAAUUUGCUUUCUCC